CAGUCGCCACGGUAAUACGGAGGGAGCUAGCGUUGUUCGGAAUCACUGGGCGUAAAGCGCACGUAGGCGGCUAUUCAAGUCAGGGGUGAAAGCCCGGGGCUCAACCCCGGAACUGCCUUUGAAACUAGAUAGCUUGAAUCUUGGAGAGGCGAGUGGAAUUCCGAGUGUAGAGGUGAAAUUCGUAGAUAUUCGGAAGAACACCAGUGGCGAAGGCGACUCGCUGGACAAGUAUUGACGCUGAGGUGCGAAAGCGUGGGGAGCAAACAAGAUUAGAUACCCCCGUAGUCCCUGUCUCUUAUAC
rnacentral:rRNA from 1 species